UGACAAACCAUACUGAUCAAACCUCACAACGCUUCCAGACUUCACUUUGCUGUUAAAUCGCUUUAUCCACUAAAACCGAACCUCAAACAAAAUGGCCAAGGCCCUGUUUUUCGUCCUCGCUUGUGCCCUUAUCGUCGCCGCCCUCGCUGAGUUCGAGAUCAAUGACGAGACCGAUCUCGAUUUCAUGAAGAGGGACGCUGACCUGGCGGAGUACUUUGAGGCUGAAAAGAGGGGAAUGGGAAGGAACCUCAAGAAGUACAAGGAAUGCACAAUGUUCGGCGCUUCAUGCUGGUGUGGAAGGAGGAAUGGCAAGGUCGUCUUCUGCAGCGGAGCCGGAAAUGGCGAUAGCAUGUAGACUCGUCCCUGAUGUAGAUGUAACCAACCAAUCCCGUAACGGAAUGGAAUGACGUAACGAACGUCUCGGUCAAUCACUUCGUGCGUUUUUCCUGUUCUUUGAUUUAGUUCCCGUCCCCGUAGCUAUUUCUUAUUCAAAUUUAGUUGAAGAAGAAGUCGAUUUUCAAGACAUUUUGCUGAUCACCAAAUGAGUUGAAUAAAAGUAUUUUCAAACUA